rnacentral:rRNA from 1 species
AACCCGACAUUCUGAAGGAAUGUCAUCCAUCCUAGAUGGAGGCUAACACAGGGAACUGAAACAUCUUAGUACCUGUAGGAAAAGAAAAUAAUAAUGAUUCCCCAAGUAGUGGCGAGCGAACGGGGAUUAGCCCAAACCAAUGUUGUUACGGCAAUAUUGGGGUUGUAGGACCACGUUGUCGCAAGACAUUCAGUGAGAAGAAUUCUUUGGAAAAUGAAACCAUAGACGGUGAUAGUCCGGUAUUCGAAGCUGAACGAAGCGUAGUGGUAUCCUGAGUAGCGCGGGACACGAGGAAUCUUGCGUGAACCAGCCGGGACCAUCCGGUAAGGCUAAAUACUCCCGAGAGACCGAUAGCGAACCAGUACUGUGAAGGAAAGGUGAAAAGCACUUCGAAUAGAAGAGUGAAAUAGUCCCUGAAACCGUGCGCCUACAAGCGGUCGGAGCAGCGUAAGUUGUGACGGCGUGCCUUUUGCAUAAUGAACCUACGAGUUACUUUUUCCGGCAAGGUUAAGCAUUUUAAAAUGUGUAGCCGAAGCGAAAGCGAGUCUGAACAGGGCGAUUAGUCGGAAGGAGUAGACGCGAAACCAAGUGAUCUACCCUUGGUCAGGUUGAAGGUUAGGUAACACUAACUGGAGGACCGAACCGAUAAGCGUUGAAAAGCUUCCGGAUGAACUGAGGGUGGGGGUGAAAGGCUAAUCAAACUUGGAGAUAGCUCGUACUCCCCGAAAUGCAUUUAGGUGCAGCCUUGGGAAUUACUACUGUGAGGUAGAGCGACUGAUAAGAUGCGAGGGCUUCACCGCCUAUCAAGUCUUGAUAAACUCCGAAUGCGCAGUAGUUCGAUCCCAGGAGUGAGGGCAUGGGUGCUAAGGUCCAUGUCCUAAAGGAGAAGAAUCCGGACCAUCAGCUAAGGUCCCGAAAUAAUUGCUAAGUUGAACUAACGAAGUCAGAUUGCUAAGACAGCUAGGAUGUUGGCUUGGAAGCAGCCAUUCAUUUAAAGAGUGCGUAACAGCUCACUAGUCGAGGAGUUUGGCGUGGAUAAUAAUCGGGCAUCAAGUAUCUUACCGAAGCUAUGGGAUCAUUAAUGAUCGGUAGGGGAGCAUUCCACUCCGCGUCGAAGGUGAAGCGUGAGCUUUGCUGGAGCGUGUGGAAAAGCAAAUGUAGGUAUAAGUAACGAUAAAGGGGGUGAGAAACCCCCUCGCCGAAAGACUAAGGUUUCCUGAUCAACGCUAAUCGGAUCAGGGUUAGUCGGGUCCUAAGGCUCAGCCGAACGGUGAGGCCGAUGGCAGAACAGGUUAAUAUUCCUGUACUACCUUAAGGAGUGACGUGGAGACGGAGCAGUGAUAGCGCCGCGGACUGACGGAAUAGUCCGUUGAAGGGUGUAGAUGUUGAUCUUUGCAGGCAAAUCCACAAAGAGAGUCGAACCUGAUAGUAUGGAACGUUCUUCGGAACAAUCCAAUAGUGCGUGUAAGCAUACUCCCAAGAAAAUCCGCUAAACUUAAUCUUUAAGGUACCCGUACCGCAAACGGACACACGUAGUCGGGUUGAAUAUACUAAGGCGCUUGAGUGAUUCACGGUUAAGGAACUAGGCAAAUUGACCCUGUAACUUCGGGAUAAAGGGUCCUCGCUUUACGGCGAGGCGCAGAGAAUAGGUCCAGGCAACUGUUUAACAAAAACACAGGGCUGUGCAAAAUUGAAAGAUGAAGUAUACAGCCUGACACCUGCCCGGUGCUGGAAGGUUAAGAGGAGAUGUCAUCGCAAGAGAAGCAUUGAAUUGAAGCCCCAGUAAACGGCGGCCGUAACUAUAACGGUCCUAAGGUAGCGAAAUUCCUUGUCGGGUAAGUUC